CGGCGAACGGGUGAGGAACACGUGAGGAUCUGCCUUUUAGUGAAGAAUACCCUCGAGAAAUCGAGGCUAAUGCUGCAUAAGUCCCUUCGGGGAGAAAGAUGGCUUUAUUGCUGUCGCUGAAAGAUGAACUUGCGGACUAUUAGCUUGUUGGUGGGGUAAAGGCCUACCAAGGCGAUGAUGGCUAACCGGCCUGAGAGGGUGAACGGUCACAUUGGAACUGAGACACGGUCCAG
rnacentral:rRNA from 1 species